rnacentral:rRNA from 2 species
AAAACGACUCUCGGCAACGGAUAUCUCGGCUCUCGCAUCGAUGAAGAACGUAGCGAAAUGCGAUACUUGGUGUGAAUUGCAGAAUCCCGUGAACCAUCGAGUUUUUGAACGCAAGUUGCGCCCCAAGCCUUCUGGCCGAGGGCACGUCUGCCUGGGUGUCACAA